GACGAACGCUGGCGGCGUGCUUAACACAUGCAAGUCGAACGGAAAGGCCCUGCUUUUGUGGGGUGCUCGAGUGGCGAACGGGUGAGUAACACGUGAGUAACCUGCCCUUGACUUUGGGAUAACUUCAGGAAACUGGGGCUAAUACCGGAUAGGAGCUCCUGCUGCAUGGUGGGGGUUGGAAAGUUUCGGCGGUUGGGGAUGGACUCGCGGCUUAUCAGCUUGUUGGUGGGGUAGUGGCUUACCAAGGCUUUGACGGGUAGCCGGCCUGAGAGGGUGACCGGCCACAUUGGGACGGAGAUACGGCCCAGACUCCUACGGGAGGCAGCAGUGGGGAAUAUUGCACAAGGGGCGGAAGCCUGAUGCAGCAACGCCGCGUGCGGGAUGACGGCCUUCGGGUUGUAAACCGCUUUCGCCUGUGACGAAGCGUGAGUGACGGUAAUGGGUAAAGAAGCACCGGCUAACUACGUG
rnacentral:rRNA from 1 species